rnacentral:rRNA from 1 species
UACGAAGGGGACUAGCGUUGCUCGGAAUCACUGGGCGUAAAGCGCACGUAGGCGGAUCUUUAAGUCAGGGGUGAAAUCCUGGAGCUCAACUCCAGAACUGCCUUUGAUACUGGGGAUCUCGAGUCCGGAAGAGGUGAGUGGAACUCCGAGUGUAGAGGUGAAAUUCGUAGAUAUUCGGAAGAACACCAGUGGCGAAGGCGGCUCACUGGCCCGGUACUGACGCUGAGGUGCGAAAGCGUGGGGAGCAAACAGG